GACGAACGCUGGCGGCGUGCCUAAUACAUGCAAGUAGAACGCUGAAGACUUUAGCUUGCUAAAGUUGGAAGAGUUGCGAACGGGUGAGUAACGCGUAGGUAACCUGCCUACUAGCGGGGGAUAACUAUUGGAAACGAUAGCUAAUACCGCAUAACAGCAUUUAACCCAUGUUAGAUGCUUGAAAGUAGCAAUUGCUUCACUAGUAGAUGGACCUGCGUUGUAUUAGCUAGUUGGUGAGGUAACGGCUCACCAAGGCGACGAUACAUAGCCGACCUGAGAGGGUGAUCGGCCACACUGGGACUGAGACACGGCCCAGACUCCUACGGGAGGCAGCAGUAGGGAAUCUUCGGCAAUGGGGGCAACCCUGACCGAGCAACGCCGCGUGAGUGAAGAAGGUUUUCGGAUCGUAAAGCUCUGUUGUAAGAGAAGAACGUGUGUGAGAGUGGAAAGUUCACACAGUGACGGUAACUUACCAGAAAGGGACGGCUAACUACGUGCCAGCAGCCGCCGUAAGAC
rnacentral:rRNA from 1 species